rnacentral:rRNA from 1 species
GAUGAACGCUGGCGGCGUGCCUAAUACAUGCCAGUCGAGCGAACAGACGAGGAGCUUGCUCCUUUGACGUUAGCGGCGGACGGGUGAGUAACACGUAGGUAACCUACCUAUAAGACUGGGAUAACUUCGGGAAACCGGAGCUAAUACCGGAUAAUAUUUCGAACCGCAUGGUUCGAUAGUGAAAGAUGGCUUUGCUAUCACUUAUAGAUGGACCUGCGCCGUAUUAGCUAGUUGGUAAGGUAACGGCUUACCAAGGCAACGAUACGUAGCCGACCUGUGAGGGUGAUCGGCCACACUGGAACUGAGACACGGUCCAGACUCCUACGGGAGGCAGCAGUAGGGAAUCUUCCGCAAUGGGCGAAAGCCUGACGGAGCAACGCCGCGUGAGUGAUGAAGGUCUUCUGAUCGUAAAACUCUGUUAUUAGGGAAGAACAAACGUGUAAGUAACUGUGCACGUCUUGACGGUACCUAAUCAGAAAGCCACGGCUAACUACGUG